rnacentral:rRNA from 1 species
AUUGAACGCUGGCGGCAGGCUUAACACAUGCAAGUCGAGCGGGGGAAGGUAGCUUGCUACCGGACCUAGCGGCGGACGGGUGAGUAAUGCUUAGGAAUCUGCCUAUUAGUGGGGGACAACAUCUCGAAAGGGAUGCUAAUACCGCAUACGUCCUACGGGAGAAAGCAGGGGAUCUUCGGAACUUGCGCUAAUUGAUGAGCCUAAGUCGGAUUAGCUAGUUGGUGGGGUAAAGGCCUACCGAGGCGACGAUUUGUAGCGGGUCUGAGAGGAUGCUCCGCCACACUGGGACUGAGACACGGCCCAGACUCCUACGGGGGGCAGCAGUGGGGAAUAUUGGACAAUGGGGGGAACCCUGAUCCAGCCAUGCCGCGUGUGUGAAGAAGGCCUUAUGGUUGUAAAGCACUUUAAGCGAGGAGGAGGCUACUCUAGUUAAUACCUAGGGAUAGUGGACGUUACUCGCAGAAUAAGCACCGGCUAACUCUGUGCCAGCAGCCGCCGUAA